rnacentral:rRNA from 1 species
UACGUAGGGUGCAAGCGUUAUCCGGAAUUAUUGGGCGUAAAGAGCUCGUAGGCGGUUUGUCGCGUCUGCUGUGAAAACCGGAGGCUCAACCUCCGGCCUGCAGUGGGUACGGGCAGACUAGAGUGCGGUAGGGGAGAUUGGAAUUCCUGGUGUAGCGGUGGAAUGCGCAGAUAUCAGGAAGAACACCAACGGCGAAGGCAGCUCGCUGGGACGGUACUGACGCUGAGACGCGAAAGCGUGGGGAGCGAACAGG